CUAGAGUCCUGCUUGCCACCAGGACAGGCAGUGCGCUGGCAGAGCAGCUCAUCUACAGGCCCACCAACCAGGAGACCCACCUGCAGCUAUAGCCACUACAAUGUGCAGCCGUGUGGUGAAGAGACGGAUUAUACAAAUAAGACCCCCAUCCUGAAGAACCCCACAGAUACACCAAGGGAUCCUUCUGAGUGCAGCUGAUAACGCAGAAUCGCCUGUUUCUACCUUCUGAGGUUGGAUUUACAGGCAGGCUGCCAGGGCCAACUGGCAUGUACAGGAGGCUCUGAGCCCUGUCUGCUUCUCUCACUUCAUG